UAUGGUCAAGUGAAGAAGCGCAUACGGUGGAUGCCUUGGCAGUCAGAGGCGAUGAAAGACGUGGUAGCCUGCGAAAAGCUUCGGGGAGUCGGCAAACAGACUUUGAUCCGGAGAUGUCUGAAUGGGGGAACCCAGCCAUCAUAAGAUGGUUAUCUUGUACUGAAUACAUAGGUGCAAGAGGCGAACCAGGGGAACUGAAACAUCUAAGUACCCUGAGGAAAAGAAAUCAACCGAGAUUCCCUUAGUAGUGGCGAGCGAACGGGGACUAGCCCUUAAGUGGCUUUGAGAUUAGCGGAACGCUCUGGAAAGUGCGGCCAUAGUGGGUGAUAGCCCUGUACGCGAAAAUCUCUUAGUCAUGAAAUCGAGUAGGACGGAGCACGAGAAACUUUGUCUGAAUAUGGGGGGACCAUCCUCCAAGGCUAAAUACUACUGACUGACCGAUAGUGAACUAGUACCGUGAGGGAAAGGCGAAAAGAACCCCGGAGAGGGGAGUGAAAUAGAUCCUGAAACCGUAUGCGUACAAGCAGUGGGAGCCCACUUUGUUGGGUGACUGCGUACCUUUUGUAUAAUGGGUCAGCGACUUAUUUUCAGUGGCGAGCUUAACCGAAUAGGGGAGGCGUAGCGAAAGCGAGUCUUAAUAGGGCGUCUAGUCGCUGGGAAUAGACCCGAAACCGGGCGAUCUAUCCAUGGGCAGGUUGAAGGUUGGGUAACACUAACUGGAGGACCGAACCGACUACCGUUGAAAAGUUAGCGGAUGACCUGUGGAUCGGAGUGAAAGGCUAAUCAAGCUCGGAGAUAGCUGGUUCUCCUCGAAAGCUAUUUAGGUAGCGCCUCAUGUAUCACUGUAGGGGGUAGAGCACUGUUUCGGCUAGGGGGUCAUCCCGACUUACCAAACCGAUGCAAACUCCGAAUACCUACAAGUGCCGAGCAUGGGAGACACACGGCGGGUGCUAACGUCCGUCGUGAAAAGGGAAACAACCCAGACCGUCAGCUAAGGUCCCAAAGUUAUGGUUAAGUGGGAAACGAUGUGGGAAGGCUUAGACAGCUAGGAGGUUGGCUUAGAAGCAGCCACCCUUUAAAGAAAGCGUAAUAGCUCACUAGUCGAGUCGGCCUGCGCGGAAGAUGUAACGGGGCUCAAACCAUACACCGAAGCUACGGGUAUCACUUAGGUGAUGCGGUAGAGGAGCGUUCUGUAAGCCUGUGAAGGUGAGUUGAGAAGCUUGCUGGAGGUAUCAGAAGUGCGAAUGCUGACAUGAGUAACGACAAUGGGUGUGAAAAACACCCACGCCGAAAGACCAAGGUUUCCUGCGCAACGUUAAUCGACGCAGGGUUAGUCGGUCCCUAAGGCGAGGCUGAAAAGCGUAGUCGAUGGAAAACAGGUUAAUAUUCCUGUACUUCUGGUUAUUGCGAUGGAGGGACGGAGAAGGCUAGGCCAGCUUGGCGUUGGUUGUCCAAGUUUAAGGUGGUAGGCUGGAAUCUUAGGUAAAUCCGGGAUUCUAAGGCCGAGAGCUGAUGACGAGUUACCCUUUGGGUGACGAAGUGGUUGAUGCCAUGCUUCCAAGAAAAGCUUCUAAGCUUCAGGUAACCAGGAACCGUACCCCAAACCGACACAGGUGGUUGGGUAGAGAAUACCAAGGCGCUUGAGAGAACUCGGGUGAAGGAACUAGGCAAAAUGGCACCGUAACUUCGGGAGAAGGUGCGCCGGUGAGGGUGAAGCACUUGCUGCGUAAGCCCACGCCGGUCGAAGAUACCAGGCCGCUGCGACUGUUUAUUAAAAACACAGCACUCUGCAAACACGAAAGUGGACGUAUAGGGUGUGACGCCUGCCCGGUGCCGGAAGGUUAAUUGAUGGGGUUAGCUAACGCGAAGCUCUUGAUCGAAGCCCCGGUAAACGGCGGCCGUAACUAUAACGGUCCUAAGGUAGCGAAAUUCCUUGUCGGGUAAGUUCCGACCUGCACGAAUGGCGUAACGAUGGCGGCGCUGUCUCCACCCGAGACUCAGUGAAAUUGAAAUCGCUGUGAAGAUGCAGUGUAUCCGCGGCUAGACGGAAAGACCCCGUGAACCUUUACUAUAGCUUUGCACUGGACUUUGAAUUUGCUUGUGUAGGAUAGGUGGGAGGCUUUGAAGCGUGGACGCCAGUUCGCGUGGAGCCAUCCUUGAAAUACCACCCUGGCAACUUUGAGGUUCUAACUCAGGUCCGUUAUCCGGAUCGAGGACAGUGUAUGGUGGGUAGUUUGACUGGGGCGGUCUCCUCCUAAAGAGUAACGGAGGAGUACGAAGGUGCGCUCAGACCGGUCGGAAAUCGGUCGUAGAGUAUAAAGGCAAAAGCGCGCUUGACUGCGAGACAGACACGUCGAGCAGGUACGAAAGUAGGUCUUAGUGAUCCGGUGGUUCUGUAUGGAAGGGCCAUCGCUCAACGGAUAAAAGGUACUCCGGGGAUAACAGGCUGAUACCGCCCAAGAGUUCAUAUCGACGGCGGUGUUUGGCACCUCGAUGUCGGCUCAUCACAUCCUGGGGCUGAAGCCGGUCCCAAGGGUAUGGCUGUUCGCCAUUUAAAGUGGUACGCGAGCUGGGUUUAGAACGUCGUGAGACAGUUCGGUCCCUAUCUGCCGUGGACGUUUGAGAUUUGAGAGGGGCUGCUCCUAGUACGAGAGGACCGGAGUGGACGAACCUCUGGUGUUCCGGUUGUCACGCCAGUGGCAUUGCCGGGUAGCUAUGUUCGGAAAAGAUAACCGCUGAAAGCAUCUAAGCGGGAAACUUGCCUCAAGAUGAGAUCUCACUGGGACCUUGAGUCCCCUGAAGGGCCGUCGAAGACUACGACGUUGAUAGGUGGGGUGUGUAAGCGCUGUGAGGCGUUGAGCUAACCCAUACUAAUUGCCCGUGAGGCUUGACCAUA
rnacentral:rRNA from 1 species